rnacentral:lncRNA from 1 species
UCUAUAGUUGUUUGAGCUAAGGAGGUAUAAAUGGCGAUUAGUCCCAGACUAAUGGAACAAACAAUCUGGUUUACCGGUUCACGCAUGAUGAAUCCGAUAACCUGAAUCAGGUCAUUCUAGUUUCUAAAGCCAUUGAUAAUUAAAUUCCAGGGAUGUUCCCGAGGUUGUUUUAUCAAUGAGAAUUAGUUAGUGAACGUUUAUUGGCUAGUUUAAAAUUAAGGAAGGAUUGGUUGUUGGAACAUUUUUGACAACUAGAAUUGAUUUACUGUAUUUGGUAAUAUUGGUUUUUGCAUCAGUGAUCAAUUACACGACUGGAGUGUAGAUUAUUCGUUGACUGGGAAUGUUUACAUAAUUGAUUAAUCUACAGUUUCUUCCAACA